GCUGGGCGUGGUGGCACAUGCCUGUAAUCCCAGAGGCUCAGGAAGCUGAGGCAGGAGGAUCUCGAGUUCAAAGCCAGUCUCAGAAAAAGGGAGGCACUAAGCAACUCAGAGAGACCCUGUAUCUA
rnacentral:sRNA from 1 species